GGGGGCGCUGGGGUGAUUAGCAUCAUGCAGGGCAUGUGAUUCUGACACCCUCUUCUGUGGUGGGGGUGAUUCUGUAGAAAGGAGUUUCUCCAAUAAAGCAGAGCUUCUCUUUCAACUCCAUGGACAUCAGAGAGAGUCCCUUUCAAAAAAGGAGGCUCAGGUCUGGAGAGACAAAGGCCUCUACUUUCGAAAAGGCCUCUUGGAUCAAGCCCAGCUCUGUCGGAGCAUUCUGAACAAUCACAGUAAGAGAAAUGCAAUGACAGCCAUGCUUCAUCUCCAGCUGUUUCCUGAGAAGAUGACAGACCCUCAUCAGAGCUGACAACAUGUCCAGCCUGCACUACUGCAAGAACUUCUUUGUCUAUGGUAGUGUGGUCAACUGAAGAAGCCGGCUUAGUUGCUCCAGUCAGGUGCUCACACUAAGAAAGGAUGGGUGAAGGUUAUAAAGUGGCUGUGAAUGAGAACUCGGUCUGGGCUCUACCAAGCAGAGAAGCCAUGCAGAGAUGAGAAAGGUGAAAGCCAUGAAACCAUGUUAAGCAGAAAAAUAAAAAUUCAAAACAGAA
rnacentral:lncRNA from 1 species